CUUGACGGAGCCCAGCCACAGCGGCCGGUCGGUCUCCCGGUCCUGCCCGUAGGUGGCCAGGAGCGCCUGGGCCUC
rfam:Streptomyces auratus AGR0001 genomic scaffold Scaffold5, whole genome shotgun sequence.